rnacentral:rRNA from 1 species
UACGGGGGGGGCAAGCGUUGUUCGGAAUUACUGGGCGUAAAGGGCUCGUAGGCGGCCAACUAAGUCGGAUGUGAAAUCCCCAGGCUUAACCUGGGAACUGCAUCCGAUACUGGAUGGCUUGAAUCCGGGAGAGGGAUGCGGAAUUCCAGGUGUAGCGGUGAAAUGCGUAGAGAUCCGGAGGAACACCAGAGGCGAAAGCGGCGCUCUGGGCUGCACCUGACGCUGAGGCGCGAAAGCCAGGGGAGCAAACGGG